rnacentral:rRNA from 1 species
UACGUAGGGUGCAAGCGUUAAUCGGAAUUACUGGGCGUAAAGCGUGCGCAGGCGGCUUUGCAAGACAGAUGUGAAAUCCCCGGGCUUAACCUGGGAACUGCAUUUGUGACUGCAUGGCUGGAGUGCGGCAGAGGGGGAUGGAAUUCCGCGUGUAGCAGUGAAAUGCGUAGAGAUCGGGAGGAACACCAGAGGCGAAAGCGGCGACCUGGACAGGUACUGACACUCAACUACGAAAGCGUGGGGAGCAAACAGG